rnacentral:rRNA from 1 species
CAGCAGCCGCGGUAAUACGAAGGGUGCAAGCGUUACUCGGAAUUACUUGGCGUAAAGCGUGCGUAGGUGGUGGUUUAAGUCCGUUGUGAAAGCCCUGGGCUCAACCUGGGAAUUGCAGUGGAUACUGGGUCACUAGAGUGUGGUAGAGGAUAGUGGAAUUUCCGGUGUAGCAGUGAAAUGCGUAGAGAUCGGAAGGAACAUCUGUGGCGAAGGCGACUAUCUGGGCCAACACUGACACUGAGGCACGAAAGCGUGGGGAGCAAACAGGAUUAGAUACCCCGGUAGUCCCUGUCUCUUAUAA